ACAACUGAAUAUGUUGAAUGUUGUCUAGACAUCACAAAUGUCCAAAUAUGUCCCAAAUCUACCACAAUAGCUGGUUCAUCCGAGAAGUAGCACCAUUUUGCAGAUUUGAACAAAACUAGAAGCGCAUACACUCUCCAAGCCAAAACGUAACCAGAACAGUUCUGUCGGAGAAACUCCAAGAAACGUCCUUUCUUCCUAGCAUCCCACACACGUAUUAUAUGAUAUGUAUUCUGCAAAGUAAAGAAUAAUAGUCAUAAGGAUAGAUGCACAGCAUGUGGAACCAUCAGAAGUAACAUCAGGUUGUCACCAAACAGAAAUGACAUAACCAACCAAACUACAAACACACAGAACAGAAACUAGAACAUGAUACAAGAAACUCACUUUCAUAUUUUUAUCAAGAUAGGAAGUUACUGGAGUUCCAUCAUGCUUCUCCUCAGGGAUAAGCUUCCCACCAACCACAAUCUCUGGCCUAAUAUUGCACUUCUUGUUGCUCUCCAAUGAGUGAGGAGAAAUAGAUAGAUGAUACUGAUGAAGUUGACCGUAAAGAUUCUCAAACUGUUGUUGAGUUGCAUUUGCUGGCAGAUAGUCCUUUGAAAGAUAAUCUUCAAUAAACUUUUCUCGAUUCAAUCCAGCUGGAGCAGUCACCCAAUCAGGAGGUCUCUUUUCUGCAUUGUAUCCAUAAGGAAACACGGGUAUGUCCUGAUCAUAGGCGAGUGCAAUAACAUCAGGAAUUUUCAAAAGCACACAACAAAGACACAAUUGAAUUUUCAAAAGCACGCAACAAAGACACAAUCUUAAAUUUAGAUUACUUCACAUGAUGACUGCACCAAGUGCGCCACUUUUUCCCUAGCCAA
rnacentral:lncRNA from 1 species